CCAGAUAAGCAAAUACGAGCGUCAGGGCUGGACAUAACAUAUUUAUGAGAUGUGAUGGUCUCUGUUAAACUUUGGAGAACAGAAGAGACCCCAGUACAAUCAACACACACCAUGUUCUCUACAUCUCUACUGCUCCUGCUGGCAGCUGCUUCCUAUGUGCAUGGUAUUGAACUGACUCAGCCUGCUUCCAUGACAGUCCAGCCAGGCCAGAGUCUCUCCAUCAACUGCAAGGUUUCAUAUUCAGUUACCAGCGACCAUACAGCUUGGAUCCGACAACCUGCAGGAAAAGCUCUGGAGUGGAUUGGAAACAUCUAUAGCAGUGGGGGUACAGCUUACAUUGACAAACUGAAAAAUAAGUUCAGCAUCUCCAGAGACACUGCUACUAACACAAUAACAAUUGGAGGACAGAAUCUGCAAACUGAAGACACAGCUGUGUAUUACUGUGCAAGAUACACAGUGCCUCAGAAUAGUGGAUUCCCUUUCCAAAAACUUUAAAACAUGUUAGAGACAUCAUCUCAAUGUUACUAAUAAUCUCAGUCAAACUUUUACUUUCUUCCACUGUAACGAAGUUGUAAUUGCUUGUCAUUU